AAGUCGAACGAUGAAACUCAAAGGAUUUCUUCGGAAUGAAUUUAAGCGGAUUAGUGGCGGACGGGUGAGUAACGCGUGAGUAACCUGCCUUACACAAGGGGAUAGCCUCUGGAAACGGAGAAUAAUACCCUAUAAAACCAUCAAAUCGCAUGAAGUGAUGGUCAAAGUGUUAGCGGUGUAAGAUGGACUUGCGUCUGAUUAGCUAGUUGGUGAGAAAAAAGCCCACCAAGGCAACGAUCAGUAGCCGGCUUGAGAGAGUGUACGGCCACAUUGGGACUGAGACACGGCCCAGACUCCUACGGGAGGCAGCAGUGGGGAAUUUUGCACAAUGGGGGAAACCCUGAUGCAGCGACGCCGCGUGAUUUAGAAGGCCUUCGGGUUGUAAAAAUCUUUUGUAUAGGAAGAAAAUGACAGUACUAUACGAAUAAGGUCCGGCUAAUUACGUGCCAGCAGCCGCGGUAAUACGUAAGGACCGAGCGUUGUCCGGAAUCAUUGGGCGUAAAGGGUACGUAGGCGGGUUUUUAAGUUAGAAGUCAAAGGCUAUAGCUCAACUAUAGUAAGCUUCUAAAACUGGAAACCUUGAGAGAUGGAAGGGAAAGUGGAAUUCCUAGUGUAGCGGUGGAAUGCGCAGAUAUUAGGAGGAAUACCGGUGGCGAAGGCGACUUUCUGGCCAUUUUCUGAC
rnacentral:rRNA from 2 species